AAAAGUUUCUUAAACUAUUUAAACAGCAAGGAAUAUACAAAAUGUUUCUCCUUGUCGAUCUUUCCACUUAUUAUAUUCGUAAUAUUACUCUUACUAGAUAAGUAAGAAAAUAUAAGCUGACCAGAUAACUGGGUUAGUGAAACUUUAAUUAGCGUGAUAUUCAAACUCUUGUUUUACUCCAUCAUUCAGCAUGAUAUUCAGAACCAUAAGAGUAAACUAGGGAAUUGUUGUUUGGAAGACAUGGAUAAAGCUAAUUUGAAGGUUGCUAAUGGUUUGAAUCUAACCAUGCUAAAUAACUAUAUCAAUAUGUAUAUUAGGUAAGAGUGAAUUGGCUCAAAAUCCUAAAAGAAGUUAUUAAUUAAGUAACUACCCAUGAAACAAAUUGUGUGGGAUUUAAUAUUCAACUUGGAGAACUGCAAUUACAAAACAGUCCUUUUGGUUUAUAGGAAAUGUUUAGGGUGAAUUGGGUGAAAAUCCUAAAAGAAUAUGGAAAUUAGCAAAGUACCAAAGAGAAGAAAAUAGUGGGGUUUAGUUUUUCUCUGUGACAUAGCAAUUUACCUUAGUACCCCUAAGCUCUUUGGACGUAGGUUUAUAGAUGGGAAAAAGAUUUUUAAGCUAUUAUAAAUAUUUUGCUUAGAUUUUUUGGGGGAUUUUCUAUAUAGUAAACAAUAACGCUUUUUCUUCUCUCUUAUUUAUCUCUCUUGUCUCUUCACCCUUCCUCUUCUCUUUUCUCUUCAACUACUUCAGCUACAUCUUUGGUCGGAUCGUCUUUUUUUAGCUGUAUCUUUGUUUUCCUUUUGUCUAUCACUGUCAAUGAUUUACAUCUCCAUUCUUGCUCUUAACAUGUAGAUCUAGAUCGUUAGAUCCCUUCUCGGUUGUUCUUGCAUGUUUGUUUUAGAUCUUCUGGUGCAUGAUCUCUUCCAGUUGCUGGCUCGGGGUUUGAUCUAAGCACUGAGGGGCUCUGUUUCUAGAUUCAUGGAUCUUUAUUUGGUUCAAAUUUCCUUUCUCUAGGCGUUUUCAUGGCACUAGAUAGAUAGGGAGAAGAAUGUGAGGCUUCAAUGGACGUAGGCGUUGAAAGUAAUUAGUGAUUAUAGGUGUAACAAAAAUAUUAAAUAUGUAUCAAACAUGUUAGCCGCAUUGAAUAGUAUUAACCGGUUUGAGUAUGUAAUCAUAUGCGAUUGUCUGUGGCUAAUAACAAACGUAGAGGUUUAAUUUCAUAUGUACCCGGCUAAAAUUUUAUGUUUUCUAUUAAAUAUAAUAUUAAUUUCAACAAAUCGAAACACAAAUGCUAAAAAAUGUUGAUAUUAGGAUAAAUAAUUCAAAGGUUGGGUAAAAUUAAUAUUAGCUAUCAAUAAGAAAAGCUUAUAUGUCUCACAAUGGAUCUUAAAGAUUAAUUCAAAAUAGAAAUGAAAAUAUGAAUAAGUAGUUACAUGUUAACAAAUUAACUAACAGGCUAAUAAUAAACACAAAGAUGCUGAUAUUCCACCGACUUUCUUUGGAAAUGGUUUUGCUGACAACUUUAUAGCAAACGAAAACAGUGGACAUCCACCAGUAAAAGGAAUAAUAGAAAUUCUUGAUGACCAGGAUGAGGUGGUGGACAUUAAUCAUGGAACUUUGGGCACAGGUGCUUCAAACAGUGUGCAGGUUCUUACUAAUCAAGAGGAUGCACCGCCAACCUUAUAGGAUUUUGGGAUAGACUUGGUGAACUACACUAAACAUGGAAUUCACCAGGGACAUACUAAUGAAGGGUUAGACAAUGGGAUGAUGUUUCGGGAGGGAGUUAUAACUUAUAAGUGAUGGCCGAGCGGCUGAAGGAGAGUUAACUAUUAAUGAUCCAGAUGUCAAAAUGUAGGGGUGAUUCUAGGUACCACGGGAAACAGUUGAUGGAGGAGGUUCUUCAACAGGGUCCAGUAAUGAAUACAUUUCACCCUAUCGGCACGGUUAUGGAAAAAAAAUAGCAUUUAGGAUGGUUUUGGGGGAUAAACUUAUAUGUAACCGUAUAAGUAUUGUUUAGUUACCGUUAAUUAUAAUCGGAAACUGUUAGAAGAUAGUUUAGCAAGGAGUGAUUUGAUUUUGGUUUGUUAAAAUAUCUUGUAACCAUUGUUGUUAUAUAUAAUGGUCAGCUACUUUUAUGUGAUUGUUUCAUAAAUAAAAUGUAUGUUAACCAACUGGUUUUAAUUGA